rnacentral:other from 2 species
GAUUUCCUGAGGUGUUCGUCAGCGGGUUACGUCCCUGAGCCGAUACUUACAUACUCUAGAAUUGGUUCUCUAUAGUUGGUGAGCAUGCUUGCCCUGACCUUCGAGGUCCUGAUGCAAGAAGCCUAAAAACAGUUACGACCGAUUCCCUUGAACCGUCGGGUUCAAGGACCGACCACCCACAACGGCAUCUCGGGGUCUUC